UGGGGAAUAUUGGACAAUGGGCGAAAGCCUGAUCCAGCCAUGCCGCGUGUGUGAAGAAGGUCUUCGGAUUGUAAAGCACUUUAAGUUGGGAGGAAGGGCAUUAACCUAAUACGUUAGUGUUUUGACGUUACCGACAGAAUAAGCACCGGCUAACUCUGUGCCAGCAGCCGCGGUAAUACAGAGGGUGCAAGCGUUAAUCGGAAUUACUGGGCGUAAAGCGCGAGUAGGUGGUUUGUUAAGUUGGAUGUGAAAUCCCCGGGCUCAACCUGGGAACUGCAUUCAAAACUGACUGACUAGAGUAUGGUAGAGGGUGGUGGAAUUUCCUGUGUAGCGGUGAAAUGCGUAGAUAUAGGAAGGAACACCAGUGGCGAAGGCGACCACCUGGACUAAUACUGACACUGAGGUGCGAAAGCGUGGGGAGCAAACA
rnacentral:rRNA from 1 species